CCCUCCCGGUGCCCCGGCCGCCCCCCGCGGGCCUGCGCUGACCUUGCCGCUCACCGCCCGCCAUGCCCGGCUGUCCCGCCGCCCUCGGUUCCCCGCCCACCGUACCCCGGCGCCAGGCCUCAGGCAGGAAAGGCCAGGCUGCCACCAUCACACGUGUGGUAAUUAACGGGGUGCAGCGGGGAGACGGGAGCGACGGGCCGGCCCUGCAGCCCGACUCACCGGCAGCACCCAGGGAACAACACCGCUAACGCCUGAGGAAAGAGAGGUGCGCCCGAGCCCCUACGUGCGCUGUCACCCCCGCGUCACAACCCCAGCAGCGCCCAUGCUGUGGUUUCACAGCUUGGAAACCUGCCUGAUCAUCCUUAACAUGAAAGUAACAACAUUUAACAUCUCAGAUCUCCAAAAUUAGCAGCUUAGAUCAAAAUACUUAGCGCAUAUUUAGUCAUAUUCAGAUAUUAUCUUGAAAUCCGCUCCAGUUGCCACACCGGUUCUGUAUACAAGAACUUUAAAAAGUUUUUCAGGUUCUUAAUGCCACAAAAUGUCUUUGGUUUGGUGGGGUCUGUGGGGUCAAAGCAAGCUCUUCCAUCGGCAUGGCAGCAGCAUAACAACUCCUCUCAUAAGCCAGUACGUGUUCUCUCUAAAAAACUAGCCCUGUUGGGAUAUUGUACAAUCUGCACACAUUGAAUUUCAUCCAAAUAAUGGUGCGGUUCCACACUGCUAGGUGAACCACAGCCUUCCACAGUUGUAUCAGCACUUCUUCAAACACCAGUCGUAUCACCAAUGCAAGUCCACUGGUAUCAGAAACUUUUUUUUCUCCAUUGAAAACUAACACGAAAAGUUCAGUUUUCCACGAACAAGCUCAUGCAAGGGUGCUACACCUGCUGUGUUCUGCCCCAUCACACCUGAAGCAAAGGACAUCCGGGACACCUGAUGCUUUUCAUUCAAGAUAAAUCUUGCAGCGAAUGGGACACAACUGGACCACCGAGUCUCUGCAAAAUGAACUCUGCACAUGUACGACAUUCUGUCUGCUUGCUGUGCUCUGGCAGGUUCCCAGGUUGAGAUAGGAUUUCUAUUAAAACACUUCUAAAAAUGAUGCGUGAUUUUAUAUAGAUUAUUUUAAGGCAGUAAAUCACCAAAACGAAAUAGCAUUCAUCUGUAGUACUCCUGGCUACCCUUGUUAAAAAUUUAGCCCUUUAAGAUGGGAAAAUAGCUCCUGAAGUGAUUAUUUAAAAAAACAAACCAAACCAUACCACACACACAAGAAAAACCAAAACCACCCCCCACAACCAAUAACAAAACCGAGGGUGAUUCUAGUAGUUAUGCACCUGUAAUUUUAUCAUUCCUUGUACUACAAAUUAAGUUAUUCCAUUGAAGGUUAGAGUAAUGCAACCAUGUAGUACAGUGUGAUGGAAUCACACAACAUCCCAUACAUGAGCAAAAGUACACUUUCAAUCCUGCCUAAGUUCUGUGGUGUCAGGCAGCUAAAAGUGACUUCAUCAAGGACAUUUAUUGAAUUUUCAGAAAGCUGUCAGUCAGGGCACUGCCCUGACCAUAAGGUUUGGGCAGAACUACAACAUCCAAUUACAGACAACUGAGAAAUCCCAUAUGAACACAAUUUUUCAGGCACGCAUUCCAGAGGGACCCAUCCUUCAUGCCCUUCUCUGCGUUGGCUCCACUUCUAUGGAUUUUCUGAGAUGAGAGGAUCUUUGCACAGUAUCCAACACAGGGGUAAACAAUGACUUUGUACACACAGUGCUAUGCCAGUGUUUUCUAUUCCUUUACUGAUAAUCUAAAGCUGAUUUAUUUUAUUUUCAAUAGUAGCUACGUCAGUAUGCGUUUUCUAGUUACCUUGUCAUAUCCUUGGAGCUUCAAGUCCAUUUUUGGGAAAUGGUAAUUUCACUUGAUCUAAUCAUCAGUCUGGUUAUCCUCUAGUGACCAUAAGAAAAACAUCUCUCACUCUUUUUAAUGUUGUUUUAAUUGCAGUAGCCACUAGAAUCCUAAAUCAAAAUUAGCACUUGGGUGUUUUGUACAUUCCUAUAACAACAGACAGUUCUGGCCCUGAAGGAUUUGUUAUUUAAUAAACAAGACAAAAGAUGAGCAAAAGAGAACACCAUCCUGUGUCACACUUGGGAAACGCCAGCAGAACAUCUUUGAACUGUUUUGCUAAGAGUCCACAGGCAUCCUCAGUAGUUUUCCUGAUUUGCAGGCCUUGGUGAGAAGCAAAACAACUCACUCUCUUUCACAGUGGUGACUUUUUAUUUGGGAAUAUGGACUGAAUUAUCAUCUCUAGACUUAAAGCAAUAAAGCUACUAAAUCACUGGUUAUGGUCUACUCCUGCACAGUCAGAUGUAUUGGAACUCACGCAGACAGCAUGUUUGGGAAUUUGAGUUACAGAGGUCACUAUCCAAGGACAAAAAAAAUGCUACAAAAACUCUGUCAAAGCCCACCCUAGAUCACUAGUGAAGGAGGCUUAGACCUAGCUCAGCAAAUUGAAGUGAUUUUAGAGGAACUUUGAACACCUCUGUCUGAAGGUAAGUUUAUCAUUGAAAUUCUGCAACAUCUGGUUAGGAAAUAAGUACAUUUGGCUGGAAAACGAGCACACAUCGCAGCCCUGCACUACACCAGACAGGCAACAGAAUGGGGCGGCACAGACAAAAGUCAAGAUGGAUGCUUCAGCAGAGCCGUCAGGGAGGCUGGUACCCGCCCUAUGGAUUUCAUCUUUCUCUCAGUCUCAAAGACAGUAUUGAAGUUACAUAUGGAUAAACAAGGAGGACUCUUUCGAUAGAAGUUUCUCAAUAGGUAUUUUUAGAAACACACCUAUUAAAGAACUUUUCUAAGGCCCUAGCAGAGAAAUCCCUGCAUAGGAAAAAGAACCUUAAGUGAUACAAUAACAGAAUUUCAUAUUGAUAUAUUGCUUACAACUUAGAAGUCUUCAUAAACAAGACUGUGAGGCAACUGAGUAAAUAUUACCACCAUUGUGCAACGAUGGAGAGGAAACAACAACAGUGGUUAAGUGACUCUUCUAAAGAAACAGAAGGAAUAAAUGCUUGAAAUUUGACCUAAAUUUGGGGAUUUUGAUUCUAAGGGGCUUGAAAUGGUGUUACCUCCUGGCAGACGGAGAAUGCACCGGUAUAAAGGUGAUACAUGUUCCUGACUUCAACUGUCCGACUGCACGCCUACCUGUUUGUGACAUGGGUAUGUAGGUUAAUUGUAGUAUUCCAGCUUGGAUUGCUGCUUGUCGAUUGCUCUUGGCAGCUUUGGCAAGAUCACAUUUUGCAAGCUACCAAAUGCAUGAAUGCAACUACACACAACUGAUCUUUGUGGCACACUUUGAUGUGUUCUUCCCGGGCGUGUGUGUGUAGCCCACGCAAUGAAAAACUCAAAUACAGACUGCAGCAAUCUACUAUUGAGCGGAUUUCACAUGAACAUCACUUGAUACUGUAAUACAGGGAAUUUCCAUGGUAUUGAUUUUAACAUUGAUUUUAAGAACCCUUGCACACCUGAGACCUGGUUAUCUCAAGGACUUUGCUAAUCUGGACUGUUAGGAGAGGGAGAGAUCAUAUUUGGGCUUAGCUUGAUUUUAAGUGGGGAGAGCAGGAAUUUGCAGUGGGCACUCCCACCCUCCACUGCAGACCCUGUGUUGUGCUGCACUUGAAUACACUCAGCGUAAUUUUUCCAUCAAGGUUUUGGCUAAGCUAGAAGGUGAGUUGAGAGCUGGGAAGGAUUUCUGUAAUCUGUAUCUGUGAAAGCAGCACUGCAGAGCAGGACUUGGCAGUUCUGGUUGACAACAGGUUGACCAUGAGUUGACAAUGUGCCCUUGUGGCCAAGAAAUCCAGCAGUAUCCUGGGGUGCAGUAAGAAGAGUGUGACCAGCAGCUCUAGUGAGGUUAUCCUCCUCCUCUACUCUGCCCUGGUGAGGCACCACCUGGAGCACUGCGUCCAGUUCUGGGCUCCCCAGUUUAAGAAGGACAAGGAAUUACUGGAGGGAGUCCAGCAGUGGGCCACGAAGAUGACGAGGGGUCUGGAGCACCUUUCUUAUGAAGAGAGACUGAGAGAGCUGCGUCUGUUCAGCCUGUAGAAGAGAAGGCUAGGAGGGGAUCUCAUCAAUGUUUAUAAAUAUCUCAACAGUGGGUGUCAGGAGGAUGGGACCAGACUCCUUUCAGUGGUGCCCAAUGACAGGAUGAGGGGCAAUGGGCACGGGGCUGAAGCACAGGAGGUUCCAUCUGAAUAUGAGGAGAAACUUCUUUGAGAAUACCAGAGCACUGGAACAGGCUGCCCAGAGAGGUUCUGGAGUCUCCGUCUCCGGAGAUACUCAAAACCUGCCUGGACACAUUCCUGUGCAAUCUGCUCUACAUGAACCUGCUUUAGCAGGUGGGUUGGACUGGAUGAUCUCCAGAGGUCCGUUCCAACCCCAACCAUUCUGUGAUACGCAUUUAUUUAUGAAUGGGGACUAGAGUGGGGGAGUGUGAUUGCAGUGCGAAAUUAAAUCAUACAAGAGCUUCAAGGGCACAGGGUAGCCACACAGGUACAUUUACAGAUAAAAAGAAAAAAACGCUAAUAAAUAUUUCCUCCAAUCAAGGUUUCCUCUUAGGAACUUGUAGUAACCCAGCUCAAAACACGAAACUUCUUUCCAGCACACGCUGUACAUAAAGGAGGAGUUUCCCCACAUGACUUCAUACUAAUUACCUACAAAUAGUCAUACAAGAAGAACCUCAAUCCACUCAUGCUCUUUACAGCUGUGAUUAGCAUUUUCGUUUCAGAAUUUCUGAGUGACACGGCUUGCUCGGAAUUCAUUACUCAAUCUCCCUGAAUAAUGUAUGGAAACUCACUGCUAGUAUGUCAGAUUACACAGGGCCUUUACGUUGUGCCCAGGGCACCAAGCAGCUGCCUAUGACUUCCCAGAAGAUCAUCCAUACACCACUACAGCUGGUCCAUGAACAUUUACAGAUAGGUCACGACAUAUAGGCAUAUAGGACACUUAAAAGGUAUGAUUUUAGGCUAGAAGAAAAAUGAGGGGAUUGGCAGUUUCAGGAUGCCUAGAUAGGCGAUUUGUCUGUAGGUGAGCAGGGAGACACGGUAUAAAAUAUGGAAAUAUGGGAGCUCUUCUGUGUUCUAAACCAUAGAAAUUUCUAUUAUAACAGAAUGUGAAAUUUAUAGGCAUCGGUUCAGUUUAUUUACCUGUGAAGUAUCCUCUCUGGUCUGAAGAACGAGUAAUACAGUAGUAGUAUGAGAAAUACUAUAGAAUUGAUUAGUCAUGCUACUUCAUCUUGUACAAGCAAUAUGAGUCUGGUGCUUGGGAUGCUCUUACUGAAAACAGAAUUGCCCAGGACUUACUCAUCACAGGAGACCCUGAGCAGCAGGGUCCUGGGGAGCAGCGGGCAGCCCAGCAUCGUCCCCGCGCCGCCCCGAGGGGCUGUCCCAGCGCCCGCUCGCACGGACACCGACCCCAGAGCUCUCCCCACCGCCAGCGCCCACAGCGCCUCGUCUGUGCUCUCGCUGUGCGACUCCAGCCACCAGCUCUCGAUUCUGUGAUAUAACAAAUAUGUAACUGAUGAAAGCAAAACCAGAGUGCCAACGCCUCCUACAAUCACUGUCAGGAACACUAGAAAAUGCAGCCAGGUGGAAGAAAGGGGAAGAACAUCACACCUUUGGCAGUUUAAGACUGACAGUGGUAAUACAACAUUCUAGGUUGAAGUGCAUUUUGGAAGUUAAUUUACUUGCAACUCAGGUGGGAAAUGGCUGCAGUGUUCAGAGGCACAGGGCCGUGGGGGACCCCAGUCCCACACAGCACUCCAGAUUGCCAGCUGUAUGUUUUUCAUUCUCUUUCCCAGCUAUAGUACUUGACUUUUUUGAAUUAUUUUCUCCUGGUUCUUUGGUUUCAUUUGAUUGCUUUUCUGAUCUUUUCCCCUCACCAAUAUUUAGCAGCUUUCUACACAAUUUCCUUACAUCGUUUUAUCUUCAUGACUGUUAUUCUCUUUCUCAAGAGCUCUGCUUUAAUCAGCUGCCUCGUAAAGCCGUGGGUUCUCCUUGAAUUUGCCCUGCGUGUAAAUCUGAACAAUGACUCUUUCAGGUAACACGUUCCUCUGUACCUUGUACUAGAUGAAUUACGCUGUCUGCACUCAGCUAAUUUUAACAAUAAUCAGAGUUGUGAGACGUAUUCUUUAGUCGUACAGCUUCGCAACAGGAGUUGAAAGCUAAACAUGGGCUGAUAGCAUCAGUGUAAACAAGAAUCACCCAGAAAUGAAAAGCUUCACAGAUGUAACAAGACUAAAAUAAUUCCACCAGUUUUUCUAAGCAAUAAUUCUGCUGGAACCAACCUCAGAAUAAAAAGUCUCUCAGA